GGUGAACGCUGGCGGCGUGCCUAAUACAUGCAAGUCGAGCGAACGGACGAGAAGCUUGCUUCUCUGAUGUUAGCGGCGGACGGGUGAGUAACACGUGGAUAACCUACCUAUAAGACUGGGAUAACUUCGGGAAACCGGAGCUAAUACCGGAUAAUAUUUUGAACCGCAUGGUUCAAAAGUGAAAGACGGUCUUGCUGUCACUUAUAGAUGGAUCCGCGCUGCAUUAGCUAGUUGGUAAGGUAACGGCUUACCAAGGCAACGAUGCAUAGCCGACCUGAGAGGGUGAUCGACCACACUGGAACUGAGACACGGUCCAGACUCCUACGGGAGGCAGCAGUAGGGAAUCUUCCGCAAUGGGCGAAAGCCUGACGGAGCAACGCCGCGUGAGUGAUGAAGGUCUUCGGAUCGUAAAACUCUGUUAUUAGGGAAGAACAUAUGUGUAAGUAACUGUGCACAUCUUGACGGUACCUAAUCAGAAAGCCACGGCUAACUACGUG
rnacentral:rRNA from 1 species